rnacentral:rRNA from 1 species
GAAUUGCCUUUGAUACUGCAUAUCUUGAGUCUGGUUGAGGUAGGCGGAAUGUAGUAUGUAGCGGUGAAAUGCAUAGAUAUACUACAGAACACCCAUUGCGAAGGCAGCUUACCAAACCAGCACUGACGCUCAGGCACGAAAGCGUGGGGAGCAAACAGGAUUAGAUACCCUGGUAGUCCACGCCGUAAACGUUGAUCACUCGUUGUUGGCAAUACACCGUCAGCGACUAAGCAAAAGCAUUAAGUGAUCCACCUGGGGAGUACGAUCGCCAGGUUGAAACUCACAGGAAUUGACGGGGGCCCGCACAAGCGGAGGAGCAUGUGGUUUAAUUCGAUGAUACGCGAGGAACCUUACCCGGGCUUAAAUGUAGGGUGCAUUGGUGUGAAAAC